CCCCACUGCACUAAGCAAUGUAAAAAUAUAGAUAUCAUCUAUAUAUUUUUUUAGCUGGUUUUCCUGAGAAAAAGAGACAAAGACAGGCCUUGAGAGCAAUGAGUCAUGCUACUACUUUCUCCUCAAGUACAGUCAAUGUUCUGGGAUAAGGCAUUGGCCGAAGAAGCAGUUCUAAACUAUCUUCUUCAAGAGCAUACAAGGCUUUCCUUUUGCUUCAGAGAAAAGGAGUGCUGA
rnacentral:lncRNA from 1 species